UUACAUAUUUGUUUCAAAUAGUUUGACAAAAAAGUAAAAAAUCAUAUAAAAUAUACUGCUCUUUUAAUAAGUUAUUUAAGAUUUAAUAAGUGAAAAUGUUUAUUAUCCUUUCGUUAAAUAUUUGUUUAUUUUGUUUCUAAUUGAAAAAUUAUCUUCGAUGUUUGAAAUCAGAUUUUUAAUUUUUGAAUCAUAUUUUGCAUUACUCGCUAGAAUCAUAUUUUGCAUUACUCGACAAUGUAGAAACUUCAUUUUAAGAUCUCCAUGGAAUGGGAUUAUUCGAACUUCAUGAAUUUGAACUUCUUAUCUUCGAUGUUUGAAAUCAGAUUUUUAAUUUUUGAAUCAUAUUUUGUAUUACUUACUAGAAUCAUAUUCUGCAUUACUCGACAAUAUAGAAACUUCAUUUUAAGAUCUCCAUGGAAUGGGAUUAUUCGAACUUCAUGAAUUUGAACUUCUUAUCUUCGAUGUUUGAAAUCAGAUUUUUAAUUUUUGAAUCAUAUUUUGCAUUACUCACUAGAAUCAUAUUUUACUCGAUUACAUUACUCGACAAUAUAGAAACUUCAUUUUAAGAUCUCCAUGGAAUGGGAUUAUUCGAACUUUAUGAAUUUGAACUUCUUAUAUUCUAAUGCAUAUACAUAUUUGUAAUGACAUUUACAUACAUUUAAAAUAGAUCAUCUGAAUAAUUCGUUUAUUUUUGAUGAUAAAAAAAAAUACUCAAAUAUGUUUGGUUUCUAAAAACAAAUAAUCUGAUUACUAAUUUUUUUAUAGAUGAAGAUAUAAAAAAAGUAUAAAGAUCAACUUUUUUUUUUUAAGUAAAAUAUAAUCUUUUAUUUACAUUUUGAUUAAACGAUUCAAAGCGAAUAAUGAAUCAUAAUAAAAGUCGUUUAGGAUCACUUGAGAACAAUAAUAAGAAAUAUUUAAUAUUAUUUAAAAAUAUUCUGAAUAUUAUUUAUAAUAUAAUAAUAUAAAUAAAUAUUUAUGUAUUCAUACUUGUUAUCACAAGUAUUUAAUUAAUGAUCUAAAAUGCGAUACAUAUAAUAUUAUGUAAUAAAUUUUAUUUUUAAAAUUAUUUGAAUUUAUCAUAGAGAAGUUCUUUUUGUAAAUUUUUGCAUGUUAUCUUUGAUUGUUAAUAUUUUCUCUAAUGUACUUGUUCCUUUAAUUUUUUAUAUAAAUAGAAAUCUGGAGAUAUUAAUUCUGAAAAAUUUACUAAUUAAUUGAUAUUUCUGAUCAAAAAAUUCAGCGAUCUUCAAAUUUCUCAGAAGUUGCUAUUGAGCUAGAAUAAAUUACCUCUUUGAAUAUGAUCAUAUUGCUUAAGAUAGCAAUUGUUUCUUUAAAUCAAUAAUGGGUUACACUUGUCAUCUUUAUUUCAUUUUAUAUUCAUUGUGUAUUUCAUUUGAUAAUAGUAGAUUUCGCAAUUAUUCUUUAGUUCAGUAUUUUCAUCAUUUUAUAUCAUACUAUAUUUAUUGAUAAUAGUUUUCUUGCUUUUCUUUCUAUCAGUUCUUCCUUCGACAGGUCAAAUUCUUUUGUAUUUUUUUGAUUUUUCAUUUAAUUGUUGAAAAAUCUUGAUAAAUUUAACUCGAAAUCAUUAUUUGCUCUAAUUUCAAAAUUUCUUCGAAGAAAUUCCCAAAGAAUUUGUUUUCAAACUUUUUGUUAAAUUAUAAUUUGUCAAGUCGAAAUUUAAUUAUAUUUGAUUAUUUUAGAUAAAAACCUGAUUCGCAAAUUUAUAUAUGUAUUGAACAUCUCUAUUAUUUAAAAGCCGUCAUUUCUAUUUAAAUGGUUCUUAGUGGUUGCAGAUGAUUAUCCCUUUCUUCGUAUAUAUUAAUAUUUUAUAUAUAUGUUUUUUGUGUACAUCAUUCUGCAUAUUUCAGCGCGAACUGAGUAUUUUAUUUUGAAUAUUAUAUUUAAUAUUGAGUUUAAUUGAUAGUGCCCAAUUGGUAAUAUCUACGCUUCAUCACGAAAUUUCUAAUCAUUGUGUUUCUGUCGUGGCAUUUGAGAUUAUAAAAUUUUUACUGCUAGAGUCAUUCCAACAGAAAAGGCUAUGUAGUUUCAUAACUGUCAUAUAUAAACUCUGUCAUAUAAUUUUGCGUGGAUCCAUAGAUCUGAGAUGUUAUUUAAAGAUUCGCUUUAAUUCGUUUUACAAUGAUUUUCAUCAGUAAUUGAAACACAUAUCUGAUAAUUUAUGACAUUAUAUAUGAAUGCCAUUAUAUAUGAACGGCAAUUUGUGUUUCAAAAUUUCUGUUUUUUUCUUGAAAAUAUUUUUGCAUAAAAAUAUUUUUUCUGAUUGUUACAUAUAUUGCGUAAUUUUUAAUAUAUAUUUUUAUUAAUUUUUUUCCUUGAUAUAAUUUAAUAUAAUAUUUAAUAUUAUAUAUUAAUAUUAUAUAUAUAUACAAUGUAAUAUAUACAUAAUAUUUAAAAUAUUUAAGCGAUAUUCACAACUGAUUUAAUUUAUAUUAAUCACAAAACAAAUUAAUUUUUAAUAAUGUUUAUUAUUUGUUUUUGGAAAAAUAUCGAAGCAAAAAUAUUUUUUAAAGUAUUACAUUUUCUGUUUCUUACAUAUUAAAAUGUCCCAUAAGUUUCUUUCGCAUUACGCUAGGAAUGAUUUUAACUAAUUAUUUUUAUAUGAACAUGUAGGAUUAUUUAUUAGCCAUUUAUGGCAUCAGUUUCAAUCGUUUCAGAGCUCUUUUAAAGUAUAUUUCGUACACGAUCUCUUUUAAAACUUUUUUCUAUAUCGUUCAAUAUAAAUAGCCAAAAGAAGCAUUUGUGGCAUAUUAUGUUUCAUUGUUUUAAAAAAGGCAAAUGACAAAUGCAUGCAAAUACUGCAGAUGAGAUUUAUAUUGUUUACAAGAGUGGUGUUAUAACUAUUAUGACUAUCCGCAAUUGGUUUAAGAGAUUUAAAGCUAGCAAUUUUGACUUAAAAGUCAUCACAACAACGAAUAUGGAUCUUUAUCAAGCUCUCGCUGAAAAUCCGCGAUAUAAUGUGCAAGAAAUAAAUGAAUGCUGAUAUUUCCAGGAAAAUGCGACAUGAAAGAGAUUCUUUUUUAAAGAGGCUUGUCACUGAAGAUAGGAUUUAGAUUUUGUAUCAAAAUACAUCGAAAACGCAUUUAAUUUACGGACAAUAGACCUUCAACUGUUACGAAGCUUGGACUUCAUCCGAAGAAAGUUCUUUUAUCCAUUUAAUGGGAUUCAAAAAGUAAUCUACUAUGAGCUUCUUUCUCAAGGUGAAACUAUCAACUUUGGAAAAUAUUGCAAUCAAUUUGCCAUAUUUGAUGUCAUAGCAGAAAAACGGCCAAAAUUGAUGAACCGAUGAGGCUAUUACGAUAAUGCAAAACCGCAUGUUGCAUUGACUAUAAGAGAAAAACUAUUACAGUUUGAUUGGAACAUUCUAUCACAUCUACUCCCCAGAUCUUGCUCUGUCUGAUUAUUAUUUAUUUCUGUUAUUAAAAAAAUUCUCUUUAUGAUAAAUCCGUAAGCGAAAUAAAAACGCACCUCGAGAAAUAUUUUGCAAAUAAACCCUAACAAUUUUGAAAAAAAGAAAUAAUGAAACUUUCUAAGAGAUAGAAGAAGGUGAUGAACGGUUCAUAUGUAAUAAUGCAAUGCAAUAAAUAAAUUUUAAAUAACAAA